AACGAACGCUGGCGGCAUGCCUAACACAUGCAAGUCGAACGAACCCUUCGGGGUUAGUGGCGCACGGGUGCGUAACGCGUGGGGAUCUGCCCUUUGCUUCGGAAUAACAGUUAGAAAUGACUGCUAAUACCGGAUGAUGUCGCAAGACCAAAGAUUUAUCGGCAAAGGAUGAACCCGCGUAGGAUUAGCUAGUUGGUGGGGUAAAGGCCUACCAAGGCGACGAUCCUUAGCUGGUCUGAGAGGAUGAUCAGCCACACUGGGACUGAGACACGGCCCAGACUCCUACGGGAGGCAGCAGUGGGGAAUAUUGGACAAUGGGCGAAAGCCUGAUCCAGCAAUGCCGCGUGAGUGAUGAGGGCCUUCGGGUUGUAAAGCUCUUUUACCAGGGAUGAUAAUGACAGUACCUGGAGAAUAAGCUCCGGCUAACUCCGUGCCAGCAGCCGCAGUAACAC
rnacentral:rRNA from 1 species